GGCUAAUUAUGAUCUUUAAAACUGGAUUACGGUGUUGCAGUCAUAUAAGAAAAAGCAAAACUCACCUGGUGAAUUGAUGAGUGUGUCUGUACUCUGAACAUGAGUGGAUUAGCAACUUGUACUGUACAACAGGAUAUCAUGGGAUGCCUUUGAAGAGAUACCAUUAGGUGUUGCAGGAUAUCAUGAUGGUCUACUUUGUGUUCUUGGAUUUGCUAUGUGAAGAGAUCCCAUUACUAGAUUUUAAUUGUCAUUGU
rnacentral:lncRNA from 1 species